AUGCUCGCUCAGCCCCUGACCACUUUGUUAUGCAAGAACACACCUUCCCAAUGGAUAGCAGCCACCCAGUCUGCUUUUGAGGCACUCAAAUUUGCCCUAGUGACGACACCCACUCUGGCUCUACCUGACUUCACUAAGCCAUUCAUAAUUGAGACAGAUGCUUGCGAAUACGGAGUCGGUGAUGUGCUCCAACAGGAAGGCCAUCCCAUCGCAUACCUCGGCAAAGCGUUGGACCCCCACACAAAAGGGCUAUCCAACUACAAAGAAGAAUACCUGGUAAUUGUCCUGGUUGUUGAGUAGUGGCGAUCGUACCUGCAGUUUGGCGAGUUUAUCAAAACUAACCAGUGCAUCUUAGUGCAUUUGGAAGAACAGCAGCUCCACACCCAUUGGCAACAGAAAGCGUUUACCAAACUCUUGGGACUGUAGUACCGCAUCUGCUACCGCAAAGGAUUUGAAAAUGUCGUCGCGGACGCUCUCUCUAGGCACACGGUAUCUUCUUGUGAACAGCUCUACGCCAUAUCUGUGUGCCAACCCGUGUGGUUACAGGAGAUCAUCAGAGGUUAUGACCAAGACCCAAAGACACAACAACUGGUCACCCAACUUGCCAUUGCACCAGUGGUUGGGGGUAAGUUCACCUUGCACAAGGGCAUUGUCCAUUUCAGUGGUUGGGUCUAG
rnacentral:rRNA from 1 species